rnacentral:rRNA from 1 species
GAGUUUGAUCAUGGCUCAGAUUGAACGCUGGCGGCAUGCCUUACACAUGCAAGUCGAACGGCAGCACGGGAGCUUGCUCCUGGUGGCGAGUGGCGAACGGGUGAGUAAUGCAUCGGAACGUAUCCUGGAGUGGGGAUAACGUAGCGAAAGUUACGCUAAUACCGCAUAUUCUGUGAGCAGGAAAGCGGGGGACCUUCGGGCCUCGCGCUCUUGGAGCGGCCGAUGUCGGAUUAGCUAGUUAGGUGAGGUAAAGGCUCACCAAGGCGACGAUCCGUAGCAGGUCUGAGAGGAUGAUCUGCCACACUGGAACUGAGACACGGUCCAGACUCCUACGGAGGCAGCAGUGGGGAAUUUUGGACAAUGGGGCAACCCUGAUCCAGCCAUGCCGCGUGAGUGAAGAAGGCCUCGGUUGU